rnacentral:rRNA from 1 species
UACGCAGGCGGUUUCUUAAGUCUGAUGUGAAAGCCCACGGCUCAACCGUGGAGGGUCAUUGGAAACUGGGGAACUUGAGUACAGAAGAGGAGAGUGGAAUUUUACGUGUAGCGGUGAAAUGCGUAGAGAUGUGGAGGAACACCAGUGGCGAAGGCGACUCUCUGGUCUGUAACUGACGCUGAGGUACGAAAGCGUGGGGAGCGAACAGGAUUAGAUACCCUGGUAGUCCACGCCGUAAACGAUGAGUGCUAAGUGUUAGAGGGUUUCCGCCCUUUAGUGCUGCAGCAAACGCAUUAAGCACUCCGCCUGGGGAGUACGGUCGCAAGACUGAAACUUAAAUAAAUUGACGG